CAAGCAUCCAUGAUGAGUAACUUCCUUUCGUUAUCCUUGCACUUUGAUUGCUAGUGAAGAAAACUAUGGGGAUGUUUGACUCUGAGAUGCUU